GGCCAAGUUUGUGAGCCGAUCUCCCAAACCAGGAGACUUGCGGGCACACCCCAGCCCCUAGGAAGACAUGUAGGGCGGGGAGCUCAGUACCAUAUAUCAGCACGGGGGAGGAGGCUAAACUGGACUCGUGGGUCCGGAGCAUCUGACGUGGAACUGAAAAAUAAAGAAUGGGAUGCCAGGGCGGGAAGGUGAAGGGCAUAUAAUCCCAGCCUUGUUUUAAGCAGGAGUUCUCUGCCACUCAGGGCAUCUACGGUUACCCAGCGACCUACCCCAGCUGGGACCCAGGCUUGCUCACCUCCUCAGCCCAGCUCACUCUCGGUUUGGGGGGUCGUUUGGUCCUUCGGGACUCAAAGGGGGCUCUGUUCUUAGUGAUGCCUUUCCGUGACUUUGACGGAUGCCAUCAGCUGAAAGAGGGCUCGGGGGGGGCAAAAGCCACACAAGAAUGAUGCCACAGGCAGCCCCUGGGGACCCAGACCAGCCUUGGUGCCUGGCCAAGGGACCGCCGGCAGCAUCUUUCCGGGGGCUCCCCCUCUCUCCCUCAUCAGCUGGCCCAUCCCUCAGUUUCCUCAUCCAGAGAAGGGAUGCGUGAUCCCAGGAGGAGGCCUCCGAUGAUGUCAAGUGGGUGGAGGAAAUUACGAAACAAGGAGGAGCAGGCUGGAUGUGACGGCUGCAGACACCUGCUGGCUUUCAGGAGAUUCCUCUCUGCUCCACCACAGGUGAGGAUGGGGGACACAGAAAAAAGGCCCCUUGUCAUUUUCUUGCCAGGAGAGAAAGGAAGACAGCAGGCAGCCCAGCUCCGUGGCAGGGCAGCAAGCCUCACUGUGGGAAGGGGACCGCCUCGGGUCUCCCCAGUGUCUGGGGGGUCUGCUGCUAAUUGGAUUGUAAAAGAUGAUCCCUCUGCACAGCUGUCUGCAAGCCAGGCCCCAGUGACACAGGAGAUCUUCUUUCCUGCUGACUGGGAUGGAGAUGUAAGGGCCGGUGCUGAAGUGGCCACCGUGAGCAAGGUGGCUCUGGACAAAGAGGACCUAUGUGGACACUCAGAUAGAACAGAAGCUAGCCUCCAUUUCAAGCCUCGCUGUUUCCCCAUCACACGUUCUGGUUAUCGCCGGACAAGUUCCUCACUUGUAAGACCAGCAAAGACAGUUACUCAACCCAAGAUGCUUAAGGAAGCCCCCCAGGAUCAACGUGGUCACCCCAUCCUGCUGCCCUGAGGGUCGUCCAGUUCGGCAGACACUGGCCCAGUGCCUCCUGCUCCUGGCACUGGGAAUGCCAAGAGGCUUCAAGGUGACCACUGCCCUCGCAGCCAUCCUUGGUCAGAGGGUGUCCAGCCACGUCCGACAGCAGGCUCAGCCCGACGAUGGGCGUGGUGUGCAGGACGGUCCACGGGCCUCCACCCGGGAACUCCGUGGUAAAGAUGUGACUCAGGAAACAGGAGUGAGCGGCCACGCUCAGGCCACCUCCGAUGCCUUCUUCUCCGUGGAUCAUUGAAUUACAUGCAUAUUUCAGUGAAGAUGAUUAUCUCCUUGCUGGUUUCGGAAGAUGUAUUUAGGGGAGGUAUUUCAAUUCUGUUGUCAUUUAAAACUAAAAAUCAAAACAUCAUUUUUGAUGUCCAGGGUUCUUUCUUCCGCCGAAAUACACAC
ensembl:lncRNA